rnacentral:rRNA from 1 species
CUACGGGUCGCUCCAGUGAGGAAUAUUGCACAAUGGGGGGAACCCUGAUGCAGCAACGCCGCGUGGAGGAUGACGCAUUUCGGUGUGUAAACUCCUUUUAUAUGUCAAGAAAAUGACGGUAGCAUAUGAAUAAGCACCGGCUAACUCCGUGCCAGCAGCCGCGGUAAUACGGAGGGUGCAAGCGGUACUCGGAAUCACUGGGCGUAAAGGACGCGUAGGCGGGUUGGAAAGUCAGGUGUGAAAUCCUGCAGCUUAACUGUAGAACUGCACUUGAAACUUCUAAUCUAGAGUAUGGGAGGGGGAGAUGGAAUUAGUGGUGUAGGGGUAAAAUCCGUAGAUAUCACUAGGAAUACCUAAAGCGAAGGCGAUCUCCUGGAACAUUACUGACGCUAAGGCGUGAAAGCGUGGGGAGCAAACAGGAUUAGAUACCCUCGUAGUC